rnacentral:misc_RNA from 1 species
UCUCCGUUGGUGAACCAGCGGAGGGAUCAUUACCGAGUUUACAACUCCCAAACCCAAUGUGAACCAUACCAAACUGUUGCCUCGGCGGGGUCACGCCCCGGGUGCGUCGCAGCCCCGGAACCAGGCGCCCGCCGGAGGGACCAACCAAACUCUUUCUGUAGUCCCCUCGCGGACGUUAUUUUUACAGCUCUGAGCAAAAAUUCAAAAUGAAUCAAAACUUUCAACAACGGAUCUCUUGGUUCUGGCAUCGAUUAAGAACGCAGC